rnacentral:rRNA from 1 species
UACGGGGGGGGCAAGCGUUGUUCGGAAUUACUGGGCGUAAAGGGCUCGUAGGUGGCCAACUAAGUCAGACGUGAAAUCCCUCGGCUUAACCGGGGAACUGCGUCUGAUACUGGAUGGCUUGAGUUUGGGAGAGGGAUGCGGAAUUCCAGGUGUAGCGGUGAAAUGCGUAGAUAUCUGGAGGAACACCGGUGGCGAAGGCGACAUCCUGGACCAACACUGACACUGAGGAGCGAAAGCCAGGGGAGCAAACGGG